rnacentral:rRNA from 1 species
AUUGAACGCUAGCGGGAUGCUUUACACAUGCAAGUCGAACGAGUGGCAGACGGGUGAGUAAUAUAUCGGACUAUGCCCAGUAGCGGGGGAUAAAUACUCGACAGAGGGGCUAAUACCGCAUAAUAUUGUAUCCCCCGAUAUCGGAUUAGCUAGUUGGUGGGGUAAAGGCUCACCAAGGCAACGCUCCGUAGCUGGUUUGAGAGGACGACCAGCCACACUGGGACUGAGACACGGCCCAGACUCCUACGGGAGGCAGCAGUGGGGAAUUUUGGACAAUGGGGGAAACCCUGAUCCAGCCAUCCCGCGUGUAUGAGAAGGCCUUCGGGUUGUAAAGUACUUUUGGCAGAGAAGCGGUAUCUGCAGAAUAAGCACCGGCUAACUACGUGCCAGCAGCCGCGGUAAUAC